AUUUAACGCUGGCGGCAGGCCUAACACAUGCACGUCGAGCGAGUGGCGGACGGGUGAGUAAUGUCUGGGAAACUGCCUGAUGGAGGGGGAUACCUACUGGAAACGGUAGCUAAUACCGCCUACCAUCGGAUGUGCCCAGCUGGGAUUAGCUAGUAGGUGGGGUAACGGCUCACCUAGGCGACGAUCCCUAGCGGGUCUGGUAGGAUGACCAGCCACACUGGAACGGAGACACGGUCCAGACUCCUACGGGAGGCAGCAGUGGGGAAUAUUGCACAAUGGGCGCAAGCCUGAUGCAGCCAUGCCGCGUGUAUGAAGAAGGCCUUCGGGUUGUAAAGUACUUUCAGCGGGGAGGCGUUACCCGAAGAAGAAGCACCGGCUAACUCCGUGCUAGCCGCCGCGGUAAUUC
rnacentral:rRNA from 1 species